GCAAGGAAGAAAUUCAGGGGCUGCCCGUCCCCGCCACAGGCCUCUUCCCCCUCCCCAGGUGCAACUCGGCAGCCGUUCGUCAAAGACCCUGUUGUCACCGAGACACUGGGACCUUGUCUCAUCCUUGGAACCACUCGUAAAUCUUAGGUCAGGCAGCCGGCAGCCUUCGGGGACCACAGUCCCCCCAAAGCUUUAGGAAGUCAGUUACUACAUCCGGAAAGAUUUCGUGUUUCUGAAUGCAAGCCAGGGAGAAUAAUCACAGAAACACAAUGCGAAUGUCGUGCCUCUUCAGAAAUUUUUAGCCUGAAAUACCGUCCCUACCCCCCAACCCGGCCAGGCGACAGUCCUGUCAUCCUGACACUGCAGAGGCUCCAAGCGCUGGGAGUCGCGUGCCCCAGGCGCUCGUCACUGAGGCCGGUUGGAAGAUUCUAGGGUGCCCCUUCCCAGGCUCCAGCAGGCACUCCGGGAGGUUCUAGAGUCAGGCCAGGGAUUCAACUGCGAACCUGACCGAAACUCAAACUUCAGCACCAGAACUUUGAUGGGGGAAGUGCCCAGACUCCAAUACCCUCGACCUUGGCAUUUAGUAGUUUCUUCUUUGAACUGGAAAGAUCAAAUAAAGCACAGUAAAAUCUCAUGAUAAGGGUUCCACCAAGAAUUCGGGAUUUGUGUUAAUUCAUAAGGCAGAAGUGGCCCCUGUGCUAUCCAUGAAGAGUUUCUGUAUUUCUCUGCAAGGUCACAGGUAGGCUUUUUAACCAAUUAAAGAAAAACUCCAACAUUUAGAGGGCCCAUUAUUAUAAUAAUUCCUGUAUUUGUUUGCUGUCUGGCACAUAAAAACAUGCUUCACUUGCAUAUAUUAAUGAAUUUUCACCUCCUAGCCCCUGGCUAACCCAUUUUACAGCUGAAAGGACUAAAGCAACAGUUGCCCAAAGUAACUCACCUAGCAGCAAGUCUCGGGAUUCUGAGAUGAGGCUCAUUCUCACACACACACAGGCAGGCUGGCUUCUUGGGAGUGGGACUUGUUCAUUUGUCCCCACCACCACCAUUGAUUCUGACUGAUUGCUCCACUCUUGCUGUCUUCAAAUUUUUGAACAAGGGGGUUUGCAUUUCACUUUGCACUGGGCCAAAUUAUGAGGUAGGUUCUACACACAGGCUCCAAGUUGACAGUACUAAUUUUUCACUAAUUUUUCUCUACUUGGUGCUCAAGUGUACAGUUUGAGGGGUACUGUCAUCUUCACUCCAGGCAAGGCACUGUCGUUUCUUUUGUAUUCCUGCUUAUUCUCCACUCCAUCAGGCGCUCACUCUGAUACCUGUCUUUGAGUGCUAUUUUCUUGGAAAUCUAUUUGCAAGUAAUGAAUCCAAAUUAUCCUAAGAACUUUUUAAUUGCAAUCUAAUGCAUUUACAGAAAAGUACACAAAUCAUAAAUGUUCAGCUGGCUGUGUUUUCACAAGCUGAACACACCCAUGUAACUAGCACACAGAUCAAUUAUCGGCCUCUAGGAGUCCCCUCAUGUUCCUUUCUGAUUACUAUGUACUCAAGAGUAACCACUGUUCUGAAUCCUAACCCCAAAGAUCAGUGCUUCCUGUUCUUGUGUUUUAUAUAAAUGCAAUUAUACAUUAUAUAUUAUUUUGUGUCUGCCUUCUUUUGCUUAACGUUGCUGAGAUUUAUCCAUGCUGUUGCAUGUGGUGGGCAGAAUUACAAGAUGAUCCCCAAGAUUCCUCACCCCUUCUUGUAUGCACAUUCCCCUAGGUAUUGAUCUAGGCGCUGCUGUGAAGGGAAUUUGCAGAUGUAAUUGGCCUAAAUCAAUUGGCUUUAAUAUCAGGAAAUUGUCCUCAGUGGGCAUGGCCAUAUGGAGCCCUUACAAGGGACUGGGCUCUUCUGGUGAAAAAGAUUUGAAUCACGAGAGUGGCUGAUACGAGGGAAAUUCUUUGCUGUUGCCUUCGAAGACAGAAGAGGUCCACAAGGCAAAGGAUGCAGACAGCCUCUAGGAGCUGAGACUGGCUCCUGGCUGACAGCCAGCAAGGAAAUGAGGACCUCAGUCCUCCAAUCAUGAAGCAGACACUGACUUCUGCUAACAACCUGAAUACACUUCAAGGAGGAUUCUGAGCUCCAGCCGCCUACACAUUGAUUUCAGCUGUUGAGACCCUCAGCCGAGAACCCAGCUAUGCUGUGCCCAGAUUUAAGACCUACACAUCCGUGAGCUUUCUAGUUAACAAGAUGGAGGAAGAGAUAAAGAAGGACAUUCCCCAAAGUCUCACAGAACUCUUCUGCUCACAUCUCAUUGGCUAACAUGAGUCAAAUGGUCAACCUGGAUGCAGGGAGGCUGAAGAAGACAGUCAUCUUGCUGGGCAGAAGGAAAGGAAGGAGGACCUAUGAACAGUGGUGGGUUCCAUGUCAGGGGCUUGCCAGCCACAAGGAAAGGUCAGAAAUUCCCAGAAUUUCAGUUCUGAAAUCUGUAUGUUGACCCAGACUCUUGGGAAUUUUACCUGGAUAUGUUCAGAUUCUUAAACAUAAUUUUUAAUGUCAUUUGAAUGGAUGCAGAGGAGAGCUGUGUAAGUAAUUGAGUAUGAACCUUAAAAAUACAUUAGGAUUCAAAACUGCAUGCUACAAAAUCACCACCUUUUUAACCUUUUCAAAAAGGUGUAACAUAUAUACAGAAAAGUGCUCAAAUCAUAACGUACAGCUCUUCAUAAAUUAUCACAGAGUGAAGACACCCAUGUCAUUAUCACUAAGAAAAAAAGAGAGAAACCAUCACACCCCAGAACCCACUCUGUGCUCCUCCCAGCCUCAUGUGCCCAUCGGAAUGCUUUCCUUUUCUCUGCUUUUCUCCUCAAGUCUGUCUUAGCCCCCUCUUCUCUUCUGCCCACCUCACUUCCCAGGCCUCCCCGAUACCCCGGGCAGUGGCAGGCUUUUUUGAGGCUGGUUUGCCUUUUGGCACAGUGGAAAUAGCAUGUGCUCUGGAGCCAGCUCUCCAAGAUCUAGAUCUCAGCCCACCUACUCACUAGCUUUGUGAAUCCAAGCAAGAGACCUAACCCCUCUCAGCUCCCCAGGCACUGUCCUGGGGUCACAGGUGCUGAUUGGGUACUUCCCAGAGUGCCUACGGAGUGCCUGCUGCUCAGCAUGGGGCUCAAAUACACCCACUGCAUUUUCAUUUCUAUGCCUUUGCUUGGGUCUCUGAAAGCUCCCGAGGGAUGUUCAUUGUUUCCAUUUCACAGAUUGCCACGAUGAUGCCUGCAGAGGUGAAAUGACUUGCCCAGCAUCACACAGUGGGGCAAGGGCAGAGUGAAGCCUGGCCCCUAGGAUCUGAGGCCACAGCAGCACAGGACCCAGAGCUGUGCCCUCCGGCCCCAGACCUGCCAUGGUCCUGUGGCUGUUUAGACUCCUGUUUGGCCCAGGGGUGCCUGGCUCUCUAAAAGAUUCACUGUUGUCCUCACCAAUGUUUAUUUCAGCCUUCCCAGAAUGUUUCCUAAACAGACACACGAAUGCCAACUUUACGACACUUGCUAAUAAAAAUAAACCCCCUCAGUA